GGCUUAGAAGCAGCCAUCAUUUAAAGAAAGCGUAAUAGCUCACUGGUCGAGUCGGCCUGCGCGGAAGAUGUAACGGGGCUAAACCAUGCACCGAAGCUGCGGCAGCGACACUAUGUGUUGUUGGGUAGGGGAGCGUUCUGUAAGCCUGCGAAGGUGGCCUGUGAGGGUUGCUGGAGGUAUCAGAAGUGCGAAUGCUGACAUAAGUAACGAUAAAGCGGGUGAAAAGCCCGCUCGCCGGAAGACCAAGGGUUCCUGUCCAACGUUAAUCGGGGCAGGGUGAGUCGACCCCUAAGGCGAGGCCGAAAGGCGUAGUCGAUGGGAAACGGGUUAAUAUUCCCGUACUUGGUGUUACUGCGAAGGGGGGACGGAGAAGGCUAUGUUGGCCGGGCGACGGUUGUCCCGGUUUAAGCGUGUAGGUGUGUGUUCCAGGUAAAUCCGGUUCACUUUAACACUGAGGCGUGAUGACGAGGCACUACGGUGCUGAAGCAACAAAUGCCCUGCUUCCAGGAAAAGCCUCUAAGCAUCAGGUAACAUCAAAUCGUACCCCAAACCGACACAGGUGGUCAGGUAGAGAAUACCAAGGCGCUUGAGAGAACUCGGGUGAAGGAACUAGGCAAAAUGGUGCCGUAACUUCGGGAGAAGGCACGCUGACACGUAGGUGAAGUGAUUUACUCAUGGAGCUGAAGUCAGUCGAAGAUACCAGCUGGCUGCAACUGUUUAUUAAAAACACAGCACUGUGCAAACACGAAAGUGGACGUAUACGGUGUGACGCCUGCCCGGUGCCGGAAGGUUAAUUGAUGGGGUCAGCGCAAGCGAAGCUCCUGAUCGAAGCCCCGGUAAACGGCGGCCGUAACUAUAACGGUCCUAAGGUAGCGAAAUUCCUUGUCGGGUAAGUUCCGACCUGCACGAAUGGCGUAAUGAUGGCCAGGCUGUCUCCACCCGAGACUCAGUGAAAUUGAACUCGCUGUGAAGAUGCAGUGUACCCGCGGCAAGACGGAAAGACCCCGUGAACCUUUACUAUAGCUUGACACUGAACAUUGAGCCUUGAUGUGUAGGAUAGGUGGGAGGCUUUGAAGUGUGGACGCCAGUCUGCAUGGAGCCGGCCUUGAAAUACCACCCUUUAAUGUUUGAUGUUCUAACGUGGACCCGUGAUCCGGGUUGCGGACAGUGUCUGGUGGGUAGUUUGACUGGGGCGGUCUCCUCCUAAAGAGUAACGGAGGAGCACGAAGGUUGGCUAAUCCUGGUCGGACAUCAGGAGGUUAGUGCAAUGGCAUAAGCCAGCUUGACUGCGAGCGUGACGGCGCGAGCAGGUGCGAAAGCAGGUCAUAGUGAUCCGGUGGUUCUGAAUGGAAGGGCCAUCGCUCAACGGAUAAAAGGUACUCCGGGGAUAACAGGCUGAUACCGCCCAAGAGUUCAUAUCGACGGCGGUGUUUGGCACCUCGAUGUCGGCUCAUCACAUCCUGGGGCUGAAGUAGGUCCCAAGGGUAUGGCUGUUCGCCAUUUAAAGUGGUACGCGAGCUGGGUUUAGAACGUCGUGAGACAGUUCGGUCCCUAUCUGCCGUGGGCGCUGGAGAACUGAGGGGGGCUGCUCCUAGUACGAGAGGACCGGAGUGGACGCAUCACUGGUGUUCGGGUUGUCAUGCCAAUGGCACUGCCCGGUAGCUAAAUGCGGAAGAGAUAAGUGCUGAAAGCAUCUAAGCACGAAACUUGCCCCGAGAUGAGUUCUCCCUGAGACUUAGAGUCUCCUGAAGGAACGUUGAAGACGACGACGUUGAUAGGCCGGGUGUGUAAGCGCAGCGAUGCGUUGAGCUAACCGGUACUAAUGAACCGUGAGGCUUAACCUUACA
rnacentral:rRNA from 1 species